CCUACGGGAGACAGCAGUGGGGAAUAUUGCACAAUGGGGGAAACCCUGAUGCAGCGACGCCGCGUGAGUGAAGAAGUAUUUCGGUAUGUAAAGCUCUAUCAGCAGGGAAGAAAAUGACGGUACCUGAUUAAGAAGCCCCGGCUAACUACGUGCCAGCAGCCGCGGUAAUACGUAGGGGGCAAGCGUUAUCCGGAUUUACUGGGUGUAAAGGGAGCGUAGACGGCAGCACAAGUCUGGAGUGAAAUGCCGGGGCUUAACCCCGGAACUGCUUUGGAAAUUGUGCAGCUAGAGUACAGGAGAGGUAAGUGGAAUUCCUAGUGGAGCGGGGAAAGGCGUAGAUAUUAGGAGGAACACCAGUGGCGAAGGCGGCUUACUGGACUGUAACUGACGUGGAGGCUCGAAAGCGGGGGGAGCAAACAGGAUUAGAUACCCGAGUAGUC
rnacentral:rRNA from 1 species